CCUACGGGUGGCAGCAGUGGGGAAUAUUGGACAAUGGGCGAAAGCCUGAUCCAGCCAUGCCGCGUGUGUGAAGAAGGCCUUCGGGUUGUAAAGCACUUUCAGUGGGGAAGAAAGCCUUGGGGCUAAUACCCUCGAGGAAGGACAUCACCCACAGAAGAAGCACCGGCUAACUCCGUGCCAGCAGCCGCGGUAAUACGGAGGGUGCGAGCGCUAAUCGGAAUUACUGGGCGUAAAGCGCGCGUAGGCGGUCUGAUAAGCCGGUUGUGAAAGCCCCGGGCUCAACCUGGGAACGGCAUCCGGAACUGUCAGGCUAGAGUGCGGGAGAGGAAGGUAGAAUUCCCGGGGUAGCGGUGAAAUGCGUGGAGAGCGGGAGGUAUACCAGUGGCGAAGGCGGCCUUCGGGACUGACACGGACGCUGAGGUGCGAAAGCGUGGGUAGCAAACAGGAUUAGAUACCCGAGUAGUC
rnacentral:rRNA from 1 species